GAGUGACCUCUUCACGGAAGCCACCCAGGAUCGGCAAGCUGGAGCCUCUGUUAAGGAGGAGGAGUCUUCAUCAUCCAAACCUGGAAAGAAAAUCCCAGCAGGAGCUGUUUCUGUAUUUUUAGGAGACACGGAUGUGCUGCCUCCGUUCCAUCACUGAAGGAGCCACAGAAGCCUGAGCAGCCCACUCCAAGGAAAAGCCCCUAUGUUCCCCCUCCCACUGGCCUGUUUGAUUAUGAUGAUGGUGAUGAUGAUGACGACUUUUUCUCGGCACCCCACAGCAAGCCUUCCAAAACAGGUAUGUGUUCCUGCCUCUGUGUCUAGGACUUCAG
rnacentral:lncRNA from 1 species